UACAGAGGGUGCAAGCGUUAAUCGGAAUUACUGGGCGUAAAGCGUGCGUAGACGGUUGCGUAAGUCAGAUGUGAAAGCCCCGGGCUCAACCUGGGAAUUGCAUUUGAGACUGCGUAGCUAGGGUGCGGAAGAGGGAAGCGGAAUUUCCGGUGUAGCGGUGAAAUGCGUAGAGAUCGGGAGGAAGGCCGGUGGCGAAGGCGGCGCUCUGGAACGUUUCUGACGCUGAGGCUCGAAAGCGUGGGGAGCAAACAGG
rnacentral:rRNA from 1 species